rnacentral:rRNA from 11 species
ACCAAAACCUAAAUACCUUAAAGGCACCAGAUCCUAUCUGUUCUUGAAAGCUAAGGAGAGUCAGCUCUGGUUAGUACUUUGAUAGGAGUCCACCAAUGAAUAUCAAGUGCUGUAGGUU